GGUGUAGCUUAAUGGUAGAGCUUAUGCUUGGUAUGCUUGAGGUCCUAGGUUCCAUCCCUUGUGCC
rfam:Heterocephalus glaber contig9700, whole genome shotgun sequence.